rnacentral:rRNA from 1 species
UUGGUGAGGUAACGGCUCACCAAGGCGACGAUCCCUAGCUGGUCUGAGAGGAUGACCAGCCACACUGGAACUGAGACACGGUCCAGACUCCUACGGGAGGCAGCAGUGGGGAAUAUUGCACAAUGGGCGCAAGCCUGAUGCAGCCAUGCCGCGUGUAUGAAGAAGGCCUUCGGGUUGUAAAGUACUUUCAGCGGGGAGGAAGGUGUUGUGGUUAAUAACCGCAGCAAUUGACGUUACCCGCAGAAGAAGCACCGGCUAACUCCGUGCCAGCAGCCGCGGUAAUACGGAGGGUGCAAGCGUUAAUCGGAAUUACUGGGCGUAAAGCGCACGCAGGCGGUCUGUCAAGUCGGAUGUGAAAUCCCCGGGCUCAACCUGGGAACUGCAUUCGAAACUGGCAGGCUUGAGUCUUGUAGAGGGGGGUAGAAUUCCA